CAGGCAGGUGUGUUGAGGCAAGUUGGAGCUAAAGACUCUGCAGGAUACUGGCCCUCCAGGACCGACCUGUUUUAGGGUUUACAAAAAAUGUUCGUAAAAUUAGUGCAUAAUGUCCUGGCAGAAAAGAAAAUCACCACUACAUAUUCUGUUUUGUUUUUUAACAGUGUAAGUUGAUGUUUCUGAUUCCAGAAAUGUGUUAAACUUCUGUUAAUUUUCUCAUAAAGACCCUCCCCUUUGAAAAGCUAUAAAAUGAGCACUGAAACAGACACGUUAUUCCAUUCAGCUCCUGAUCAAAGAUGGAUCUGCAAAUCUCAGUAUUUCUUCUGUUCGUUCUCUUCACUGCAGGACACUCUCUCAGAUGUUAUGAGUGUAUGGGUCUGACGGGUUCUUGUGCGGAUCAAAAUGUGGCAACAUGUCCCAGUGGAUUUUCCAAGUGCAUGAGUUCAACAACAGUGACACAAGCUGGUCCCAUUAAGGUGUCCAUCAAAAUUAAACGGUGUGCACUUACAUGUGAAGCUGGGACUCAACAGCUCCCGACUGGAGGGACAAUAACUACCCAGUGCUGUGACACUGACCUCUGCAAUGCAGCAGGUGGCGUGUAUAAGGGGAGCUACCUCCUGCUGUUGUCUCCUCUGCUCUUCUACUUCCUGUUUCAGUGAGUCCAGCUGCAGCAGAAACUGAAAGUCACAUUUCCAUAUUUUACUGAAUAAAGUGUACAUGUUGUUCUGCUGUUCUUUAGGAUGAUGAUUUGGGGGAUUAAACAAAAUAGUGCAUCAACUAGUGUAACACACAAAUAAUUAUUAAAAAGAAAAACAAAAUGAAUAUAUGAUGAGUUUGCAAUAUCUGCAGUAAUUUUGUGGAGUAAUAAUAUUUGCAGUUAAGACU
rnacentral:lncRNA from 1 species